ACUCUGUCUCUUGAACUUUUAAAACACCACAGUUUAUAGUGAACCACAAAGGGACUUUAGAGGAAAACAGACAGGUCUGACUUAAGGUCUCCUAGCAAAACACAAGACAGUAUUUGAGAAGGUUUUAGUCUGGUGCCUGGCACAUAGUAGGACCCUAAUGAAUGAUUAUUCCCUUCCCUCAAGCUGUUCAUGGGGGUCUGAUCUCAGAGACUGAUCUUGCUCAUUCUCCCCAGGGCUGAGUUCCUAAAGGAGUCUCCAAAUCAGACUUGCCUUGGCCAUCCUUCCUCAGAGGUGUGCACCCAGAGUCUCUCCAAGUCUGAGGUUCUCCAGCCUCACCUUCUCCCCUGACAAUCUCACGGAGACACCAACAUUCGAUUACCCACCCGUAUCCCUGACCAGGCGUGGCACUCUUCAGAGGAACUUCUCCUGAAAGAAUUGGACUAGAUUCCCAAGGUACCCACCUUUCUGAAGGCACUAGAGAUGAUCCCUCCCCCACUUCGAUUAUGAAUCAAGAGAGGGUCCUAAAGACUGGUCAACUAGGGCCUCAAGGUCCUUUAUAAAUGAAUAUUCAGCAAAAUUUAUACCUACUUUCCUAUAAAACUUCCUGGAAAUUUAGCUCUGAUUGUUAGUGACUGACUUAAUCCUAAGCAAAUAUAAAUGAUAAUAACCUUACUCACUAAAUAAAAGGGAGCCUUCUCCUGUCCUUAUCUCUGUAAAACUAAAAUGAGCCUUCUUCUCAGGUCAGAAGAAGUUGGGAUUGUUCCCAGGAUGGUCACAGCAUUGACAGUUUACCAUUGAGGGGAAUCUCUCCCCUAAGGCAGUCGGGCAGUGUGGCCUGAAUUAUUGCUCCCUCGAGGUGAUGUCAGAGCACUCCGUGGGGAAUCACUCCCCCAAACCCUACCCAUUCAGGGACUUGUCAUAGGGUCCUCUAGAUGGGUUCCUUCUCUGUUGUGAGGCACAAAAACUUCUCC